rnacentral:rRNA from 1 species
CCUACGGGAGGCAGCAGUGAGGAAUAUUGGUCAAUGGACGCAAGUCUGAACCAGCCAUGCCGCGUGCAGGCAGAAGGCUCUAUGAGUUGUAAACUGCUUUUGUACGAGGGUAAACGCAGAUAUGCGUAUCUGUCUGAAAGUAUCGUACGAAUAAGGCUCGGCUCACUCCGUGCCAGCAGCGGCGGUAAUACGGAGGAAUCAAGCGUUAUCCGGGUUUAUUGGGUUUAAAGGGUCAGUAGGCGGUCGGAUAAGUUAGAGGUGAAAGCCCGAGGCUCAACUUCGGAAUUGCCUCUGAUACUGUUCGGCUAGAGAGUAGUUGCGGUAGGCGGAAUGUAUGGUGUAGCGGUGAAAUGCUUAGAUAUCAUACAGAACACCGAUUGCGAAGGCAGCUUACCAAGCUACUUCUGACGUUGAGGCACGAAAGCGUGGGGAGCAAACAGGAGUAGAUACCCGUGUAGUC